ACGCUGGCGGCGUGCCUAAUACAUGCAAGUAGAACGCUGAAGGAGGAGCUUGCUUCUCCGGAUGAGUUGCGAACGGGUGAGUAACGCGUAGGUAACCUGCCUGGUAGCGGGGGAUAACUAUUGGAAACGAUAGCUAAUACCGCAUAAGAGUAGAUGUCGCAUGACAUUUGCUUAAAAGGUGCAAUUGCAUCACUACCAGAUGGACCUGCGUUGUAUUAGCUAGUUGGUGGGGUAACGGCUCACCAAGGCGACGAUACAUAGCCGACCUGAGAGGGUGAUCGGCCACACUGGGACUGAGACACGGCCCAGACUCCUACGGGAGGCAGCAGUAGGGAAUCUUCGGCAAUGGACGGAAGUCUGACCGAGCAACGCCGCGUGAGUGAAGAAGGUUUUCGGAUCGUAAAGCUCUGUUGUAAGAGAAGAACGAGUGUGAGAGUGGAAAGUUCACACUGUGACGGUAUCUUACCAGAAAGGGACGGCUAACUACGUGCCAGCAGCCGCGGUAAUACGUAGGUCCCGAGCGUUGUCCGGAUUUAUUGGGCGUAAAGCGAGCGCAGGCGGUUAGAUAAGUCUGAAGUUAAAGGCUGUGGCUUAACCAUAGUACGCUUUGGAAACUGUUUAACUUGAGUGCAAGAGGGGAGAGUGGAAUUCCAUGUGUAGCGGUGAAAUGCGUAGAUAUAUGGAGGAACACCGGUGGCGAAAGCGGCUCUCUGGCUUGUAACUGACGCUGAGGCUCGAAAGCGUGGGGAGCAAACAGGAUUAGAUACCCCUGGUAGUCCACGCCGUAAACGAUGAGUGCUAGGUGUUAGACCCUUUCCGGGGUUUAGUGCCGCAGCUAACGCAUUAAGCACUCCGCCUGGGGAGUACGACCGCAAGGUUGAAACUCAAAGGAAUUGAC
rnacentral:rRNA from 1 species